CCCUGUCCGUGUGCUGUAAAGGGGCCGCCGGACCAAGCGCACACACACAUGGCAUGCUGACCGAGCUACCGACCGCGAGACGAGGCCCCACUGGCCGCUGUGGAAUCCAUACAUCAGGUACUUACAGGCACACGUCGCAGGACCCACGCCAUGACAUGGCGCCUCCCUCCAGAAUCCCCAGAGAGUCAAGCCCCAAAGAAUACUUAGCUUAGCCAACUGGUCAUGAACACGAACGGUCACUGCCGGCCGGGCGGCCAGGCAGUGCUUCCUCGCAC
rnacentral:lncRNA from 1 species